rnacentral:misc_RNA from 1 species
UCUCCGUAGGUGAACCUGCGGAGGGAUCAUUACUGAGUGAGGGCUCACGCCCGACCUCCAACCCUUUGUGAACACAUCUUGUUGCUUCGGGGGCGACCCGGCGCUUCGGCGCCAGGGGGUCCCCGCUGGUCCACACAACUCUGCAUCUUUGCGUCUGAGUAAACAUUAAAUGAAACAAAACUUUCAACAACGGAUCUCUUGGUUCUGGCAUCGAUGAAGAACGCAGC